CCCCAGUGAAAAAUGGUGACUUUCCGUCUAUUUUCCGAUUUCAAAACGACCUUGAGAGGUGAACACUGACACGACUGUGUUUUUUGUCAUUCAAGUAUUACCCUAUAGUUACAGUAGUCCAUUCAUGCUAGCUGGGAGUAUAUUGGACUUCAGUGUCUUGCUUGGGAAUUAUUAUUGUCAAGUCAGGUCUGCCUAAAUGUCCAUUUUUAUGGAUUUUUGACAAAACGGUGACCUAGAUUUUACAGACUAGAUUCCUAUUGGCCAUAGUAUACCUCGUCGUGUUCCUAUACCACCUAUGCAUGCAUAUAUGAUAAUAGUUUUUGCCAACAGUCACUUCCAGUUACGCAGUGGCCAUCAAAAAAUGCCCACCCCCACCGGAUUUUGGCUACUUUUCAUGUUUUUCCGAUUUUGAACUCUUAAACGGCUUUCAAAGUGCCAUAUUUUCAUGAACAGACAUCUGAGAAGAGUUGAUGGAC
rnacentral:lncRNA from 1 species